rnacentral:rRNA from 1 species
AGACCGAUAGCAAACAAGUACCGUGAGGGAAGAUUGAAAAGAACUUUGAAGAGAGAGUUCAAUAGUACGUGAAACUGUGUGGUGGUAAACGGAGGGGUUCUCGAAGUCUCUGCGGGGAACUCAACCUUGGUGUCCGGCAGUCAGGGUGCGUCCGAUCAGCAAUGACGGUGCUCCCUGUCCGGCCAGGCUCUCGGGUGCAUUUCCCCCGCAGUUUACGGCAGGAACCGUUUGGCGCGGACCGAAGGCCUCGGGUGAAGUUGUCGGUUCUGCUGGCAGCCCUGUGUGUCCUGGCUCCGCGCUCGACGGGUACGUGAGAGGACUCGUAUAGCGAGCAACGCUCUGUUGCGGUUCUCAUCUCUCUGCCGAGUAGGUCGGCGGCCCCUCCGACCCGUCUUGAAACACGGAC